CGCAGCUGUGUGCCGAGCGCUCCCCCUCGGUACGCGGCAAGGACGUGCAGGGGGGAAGAGCGUGUUUCCGAAAAGGUCAUCGGUCUCCCAGCUGUCUUCAAAAGUAGCGUGUAGUUGAAAAGAAAUAUUACCCCGCUUUAUUAAAUCAUCUCUCUCCGGGGGCGUGAUCCAAAGCCUCUUGAAGUCCACAGGAGUCUUUGAAUAGUUGCACUUGCCAUACUUCAACACGUGCUCGAGCCGUGAAGCCUGUCACGCAGGACAGAACCUUCAGCCGUUGAUAUCCAGCCGCCCCCUGCGUCCUUUUCCUCACGAGCUCAGAACAAGGACUGUAACAUCAUAGCCUGAGAUGUCUGGAAGAAAGGAUGGCUGAUGUUGCACGCUCAGAAGAUUAACAGGUUUGGGCACGAUCUGCCAAUACUUAGUGAGGGCUGCAAAAAUCAUUUCCUGCUGCCUGAAGCAGCCUGUGCUUCUGGUGAGGUGAGAGCACAGUUCAGAGUCAUCUGUUACACGAAUGAGAAGAUGCACACACUUCAGGAGGAAUGCAGAUGAAGAGGGUUUUCCUUCCACUCCAGUAACUCACAGCAGCUUCUCUCGCCCUGCCAGGUGCCCAAGAGGCUGGGAGAGCACAGCCAGGACAGCUGACCCAGACUGGCCAAAGGGAUGUUCCCUACCAUAUAACAUCAUGCUUCAUAUAGAAGUGGGGAAGCCAGCCGGGAGGUGGGAUCGCUGCUUGGAAACAGACUGGACAUUGUUUUUUUUUU